rfam:Acidihalobacter prosperus strain DSM 5130 contig_01, whole genome shotgun sequence.
GCAUCGGCCCCUCGCAACGAUAAACUGUAAACCCCGCCAGGCCCGGAAGGGAGCAACGGUAGCAGUGAUCUCGUGUGCCGGGGUGUGCUGGUGCGGG